UACAGAGGUCCCAAGCGUUGUUCGGAAUUACUGGGCGUAAAGGGCGCGUAGGCGGCCUGCUAAGUCGAACGUGAAAUCCCUGGGCUCAACCCAGGAACUGCGUCCGAGACUGGUUGGCUUGAAUCCGGCAGAGGGGGGUGGAAUUCCGCGUGUAGCAGUGAAAUGCGUAGAGAUGCGGAGGAACACCGAUGGCGAAGGCAGCCCCCUGGGCCGACACUGACGCUCAGGCACGAAAGCGUGGGGAGCAAACAGG
rnacentral:rRNA from 1 species